GCAGCACCACCUCUAGCGGGCUCAAGCCGUGCUUCUCCAGAAUGGGCUGCAGCGCCUCCUGCAGCCGCUUGGUGGGCUUGGCUGAGAUUCGUACCACGCGCUCCAGCGCCGUCAGCUCCAGCCUGCGAGGAACCCUCGGGCAGCAGAGGGCCGGAGGGCCGGCCCCCCGCCAAACCCUUCCCAGGACAAACGCGAGGGGGUGGAGCUUGAACUGCAGAAGUCGGCUCACCUCAGAUUUGCUGCUGACGAAGGCUAGGAAGCCAAGGUCCAGGCUGGCGGAGGAGUUGAGGGAGCCCUGAGACUCUCGGCGCAAGGCGGCGUUUGCAGUCCCGCCCAGCUCUAGUGAAGAGGGAGCGAUGAACGCGAACAGCCCCCCGCCCUCACCCAUCCUCUGCGGAAGCCUGUUCCCCACUGGUGGGCCUUGUUUGGAGCCAUCCUGCAGGGGCCCAGGUGUAAAUCCCUGGGAGCGACACCACCGUUGGAGAUUUCCAAACGUCUGAGGUCUAGCCCAAGACCCGAAC
rnacentral:lncRNA from 1 species